rnacentral:rRNA from 1 species
GAGUUAGUAAAAACGACUUUUUGUCCUUGAACUGCGAAUGCCCCAUUUUCUUUUGUGAAAGGAUAGUCAAUAUGUUUCGAAAAAUAUAUAUAGUAGAGGACUUCGGGAAUUUACAAAUAUUUUAAAUUUACAGUUUUAUGUUUGACAUGUUGUUUAUAAUUUCUUGGUUAAUUUUAAAGACUGAUAUUUUCACCACUUUUUCUUAUGAAUACAAUGAUCGAGUUCAAAACUCUCUUUUUUAAUAGUUUAGGGUCUAGGGUUUACGCUAAGGAUUUAAAAGUUAGGGGUUUAUGCUAAGGAUUUUCGUGUAUGUGAGUUUAGGGUGUUUGGCAUUUAAGUUAAGGAAUUUAGGGUUAAGGUUAAUUUAGGGUAUAGAUUAAGGAUUUAUGAUUUUGGGUUUAGAUUAAUGGUUUUAGGGUUUAGGGUUCAGGAUUUGGGGUUAUGGUUAUAAAUUAGGGUGUAGAUUAAGGAUUUAAUCAUUUAUGAUGUAUAUUAAUGAUUUUAGGGUUUAGGGGUUAUGUUAUAGUUUAUGAUGUAGAGUUUUAGAGUAUAGGGUACAUGUUAAGGAUUUUAGGGUUUAUGGGUGAAGGGUAUACUUUAGGGUUUGGGGGUAGGGUUAUAGUUUAUGGUAUGCUCCCUUAUUCUCAACGGUUUGUGUUUCCAUAAAUCCUAUUGCAUUGAUUGAAUUUUAUUGACAUUGUAAAUCAUACCAUUGUAAAUAACCGAUCUUAUCAUAGAUCCAUUGUGGUCUUGAAAUUUUAUAAUAAUGGAAAUAGCGACCCUAAUCGCCAUCCUUAUAUCUGGUCUACUUGUAAGUUUACCGGGUAUGCCUUAUAUACGGCUUUUGGGCAACCCUCUCAACAACUAAGAGAUCCAUUUGAAGAACAUGAAGACUAAUUGAAGUCAAGUAAUGAGUCGUCCAACACGGGUGGCUCAUUACUUGACUUUAAUGCAUUAAUUCAUUAGUAUUUAUAAAGUAACAUUAUACUUUAUCUAUAAUUGAGAUAAUCAAAAAUCAUUUUUUUGUCGGAACCUUAGGCGGUUCUCAAAAUAAGAUAGUGAAAAAAAUGAUUCCUAGAGUCGAGACUAUGAGGAAUGUAUAAACCAAUGCUUCCAUAAAUUCGAUCAUGGUUUACAAUUAUAGCUUCCACACCUAUUCAUUUGGGAGCAUCUCCCAGAUAAAGACAAGAGUCAAAGAAAAGGGCGAUUUAAACCCAGCAAAAUUUAUCUGGUAAUCUAUGUAGAAAGUGAAAUAAAAAAAUCCACUAGAAGCGAAAGAUACCAUUUCAGAUCAAUGUUUAUCAGAUUACCUGUCUCCUUGUAGUUGUAUCCCCAAGUUUUCGAAUGCUCCAAUUUCUACUUGGGCAUCCAGAUCUGCAUCAAUCCCCGCAAAAACAUAUAUGAACAAGGUUAUAGCACCAUGCCAAAUGUGUCCGAAAAAGAAGUGCAAAGCAAACGAAGCAUGCCCAAAAGUGAAUCAACCCCUCGGACUACUAUGAAAAACACCAUCAGAUUUCAAAGUAGCAUGAUCUAAUUCAAAAUUUUCACCUAAUUGAGCGCGUCUAGCAUAUUUUUUCACAGUUGCAGGAUCACUAUAAUUGACUCCAUUAAGUUCACCACCAUAGAACUCAAAAGUUAUCCCUACUUGCUCAACACUAUACUUCGAUUUUUCCCUUCGAAAAGGAACAUCGGCUCUCACAAUUCCGUCUCCAUCUACCAAAACUACUGGAAAUGUUUAAAACAAAUAGGCAUACGACAUACAAAAAGCUCAUGCCCCUCUUUAUCUCUAAAGAUAAGGUACCCCAACCAUCAAACAGUUAUUCCGUCCCCAUUAUGCAUUGAGCCCGCUCUGAAUAAUCCCCCUUUUGCGGGAUUAUUGCUGAUGUAAUCAUAAAAAGCUAAUUUUUCAGGAGUUUUAGACCAGGCUUCUGAUAAACUCUGAUUCAGUUAGUAUGGCAGCAACCUCGAUAGAUUUCUUGCUGGAAGUGUCCCUGGUCCCAUUGAUAACGGUGGGACCGAAUAAUUCGAUGGGCGUAGUUGCCGAACCAUACCACAUAGUUCCGGCAACAACAAAAGCCAAAAAAAAGACAGCAGCGAUACUACUGGAAAAAACAGUUUCAAUAUUACCCAUACGCAACCUUUUGUAUAGGCGUUGGGGUGGACGAACACUAAGACGAAAUAAGCUUGCUAAUAUGCCCAAUGUCCCUAUGCACCCGGAUAGAAAGACUAUGAAGCUUUACUGUUUCCUGGGAUUGGCUUUGGGCCUUUUCUGUGCAGCUUAGGUGGAGGGAGAAGAAGGCCCCCUUCCGAGGGGGCCCGAGCCAUCAUUGAGAUACCACUCUGGAAGAGAUAGAAUUAUAACCUUGUGUCAGGAUCUACGGGCUAGAGGACAUUCUUAGGUAGACAAUUUCUAUGGGGCGUAGGCCUCCCAAAAGGUAACGGAGGCGUGCAAAGGUUUCCUCGGGCAAGACGAAGAUUGGUCCUUGAGUACAAAGGCAGAAGGGAGCUUGACUGCAAGACCCACUCAUCGGGCAGGGACGAAAGUCGACGGUGCCGAGUGAAAGGGUCGUCGCUCAAAAGAUAAAAGUUACUCUAGGGAUAACAGGCAAUUCUUCCCCAAGAGUUCACAUCGACGGGAAGGUUUGGCACCUUGAUGUAGGCUUUUCGCCACCUGAGGCUGUAGUAUGUUCCAAGGGUUGGGUUGUUCGCCCAUUAAAGCGGUACGCGAGCUGGGUUUAGAACGUCAUGAGACAGUUCGGUCCAUAUCCAGUGUGGGCAUUAGAGCAUUGAGAUGACUUUUCCCUAGAACGAGAGGACCAGGAAGGACGCACCUUCUGUGUACCAAUUAUCAUGCCCACAAUAAGCGAUGGGUAGCCAAGUGUGGAGCGGAUAACUGCUGAAAGCAUCUAAGUAGCAAGCCCACCCCAAGAUGAAUUCUCUCUUAUCCCGACUUUUCCAGAGCCUCCGGUAGAACAAUCAGGACAACGACAAGUUCUCUACUCCUGCGAGAAUUGAGCGACAGAAGUUUUGAGAAUCCAAAAGAAGGUCACGGCAAGAUGAGCCAUUUAUUAUUACUAUUGGUGUCAAGUGGAAGUGCAUUGAUGUAUGCAGCCGAGGCAUCCUAACAGACCGCCAGACUUGAAC